rnacentral:rRNA from 1 species
GGCGGCGUGCCUAACACAUGCAAGUCGAACGAGCGAGAGAUGAAACCUAGUGAUUCUCGAGCGAGUGGCGGACGGGUGAGUAACGCGUGGGUAACCUGCCUUACAGAGGGGGAUAACAGUCUGAAAAGACUGCUAAUACCGCAUAAGCACACAGUACCGCAUGGUACAGGGUGAAAAGAUUUAUCACUGUAAGAUGGACCCGCGUCUGAUUAGCCAGUUGGCAGGGUAACGGCCUACCAAAGCGACGAUCAGUAGCCGACCUGAGAGGGUGAUCGGCCACAUUGGGACUGAGACACGGCCCAAACUCCUACGGGAGGCAGCAGUGGGGGAUAUUGCACAAUGGAGGAAACUCUGAUGCAGCCGACGCCGCGUGAGUGAAGAAGUAUUUCGGUAUGUAAAGCUCUAUCAGCAGGGAAGAUAAUGACAGUACCUGACCAAGAAGCCCCGGCUAACUACGUGCCAGCCGCCGC